GACGAACGCUGGCGGCGUGCCUAAUACAUGCAAGUAGGACGCAGUUGCGAACGGGUGAGUAACGCGUAGGUAACUACCUAUUAGAGGGGGAUAACUAUUGGAAACGAUAGCUAAUACCGCAUACUAGUAGAUGGACCUGCGGUGUAUUGGCUAGUAGGUAGGGUAAUGGCCUACCUAGGGAACGAUACAUAGCCGACCUUAGAGGGGUGACGGCCACAAUGGGGCUGGGACACGGGCCAGACCCCCACGGGGGGCCACAGUAGGGGAUCGUCGGCAAUGGGGGGAACCCUGACCGAGCAACGCCGCGUGAGUGAAGAAGGUUUUCGGAUCGUAAAGCUCUGUUGUUAAGGAAGCGGUACUUAACCAGAAAGGGACGGCUAACUACGUGCCAGCAGCCGCGGUAAUAC
rnacentral:rRNA from 1 species